rnacentral:lncRNA from 1 species
AGGAUUGGGAUAUUCCGACUCCUUAAGGGCCUGGCGCACAUAAGGUGUGACCUUUUCAUUCCCGUUGUUAUGGAGGGGCCACAUCUGCCAGAGCCUGGAGUCUGCGAAGGCCGGGACCCGGUUCCCCGGCCCACAGUGGGGGUGUGCAAACCCGAGAGAACUGGGGUUGCAAAUUCGUGAAGAAUCAGCAUCAUGUUUGGCAGCUGAGUAUUGGAGCCAGGAGCCUGCCAUGAGGGUUAUAUUCCCAGAGGAUGUCAGUCCCAAGGACCAGUAGCUGCCAUCAGUUUGGAUUCUGAAAACUAACUGGCAUCAACACUGGGUGUAGAAACAUGCUUGCCUUAUGUAUCAGAGGACAUGCUCAGCAGAUCCAAGAGAUAUAUUUGGCAACUUUUUCUAGAAAAGGCACAUUGGGUAUCAUUCAUUACAUUCUUGAGUUUUUUUGGGUUUUUUUUUUUUUUUUUGAGACAGUCUUGCUGUAUUGCCCAGGCUGGAGUGUGGUGGCACAAUCACAGCUCAUUGCAUCCUCAAUCACCCAGGCCUAAGCAAUCCUCCCACCUUGUAGCUGGGACUACAGCUCACAGCACACCUGGCUAAAAUUUUUUUUUUGUUGAGACGGAUUCUCUAUGUUGCCCAGGCUGGUCUCAGGCUCCUGGGCUCAGAUGGUCCUCCUGCCUCAGCUUCCAAAGGCACAGGCCAAGUUGUAGCUUUGUCCCUUGCCAUCAUGCCCAACAAGAGGUUCUAUACCUUUUAAUGAAUUGACUUUCAUAAAUUGGUUAUGUUGGUGGGCAAAGUUCUUUAAGCUGGAAAUUGUAAAUUCCUCCUGAAAUGUUUUUUCAUGCAGUUACCAUGAACUAAUACUACAAUAAAGGAUGGUCUUGGGUGUCAAUUCUUGAAAA